CGAAGAUGGUUGACCCACGAUCAGCGGUUAAGAGAAUGUCGACUGAUACUCUUCAAAACUGGGUUACUCAAACUGCUGUCAAUAUUUCUCUCCCAAAAAACGAAGACGACCCUAGGGUAAUUGCAGACCUUAUUGGGGCUGCUGAGAUUGAUGGGUCAGAUUUUGUAUCACUAAAUGAACCUGAAAUAGCAGAUUUAAUUCCAGUUAAAACUCCAAGAUUCUUCCACCUCAGAAAAUAUCUGCGUACACUACUGAAUUACUUGAAUCCCACUCAAAAUAACACACCUUUAGGAUCAACAUCAAAGAAACAAGAAAUAACCAAAGAUGGGCCCUGCUUAUCAUCAGCUGCGUACACCUUGACUGAAAUCACAGUGGCUGAAAAAGUUAAGAAGCCACAGUGUUUUGCACAGACUGCAGUUCAACCUUAUUAUCCCGUUCUAUGGUUACCUGCACUGGAAGAAAAGCAAAGGGAACUAAUAAGAGAAAAAGACAUUGUUUAUGGGUGUGUGCAACAAGUUGCAAACAUGUUUCACAUUGCAAGAGCCAUCAAUCUGAAGAAUACCCCAUCAAACUAUUAUUAAAAUUAUUGCAUAAUUUAUAUAGAGUAGUUUGUACUGAUAUUGAUGUGUUUUAACUCUUCAUAUACUGUUGUUGCAUGUUAAUAUUAUUGAUUAUAUUUUGUUUGCAACUGUAUUUGUCUUACCAGUAACACAAACAACCGCAGCACAGCUUCAGAAAAAGCUUAAAGAUGAGCUGUUAAGGAAAAGUCCCCGUUAUGAGGUUGUUAAGCAACUUCUUGACCUUGACUUUCCUGAAUGGAAACACUUUAUAAAGACUGUCAAAGGAGAUGUUAGGCUCAUAUUGGAAAAGUAUAGCUGCUUUCAUCAGCCUAAUCAUUUGCAGGAUGAGAUGAGCAGACAUCUGCAAAAAUCAUUGGAAGGGUUAAAAGCAAAAUGGGAACUUGAGGUCAACAUUAUCUUGAAGUACGGAGAAGAGAAAAAGCUUUUGAACAUUAGCCUUGCAUGGUCACUUGAGAAGAAGACAAGUGAGGCUCUACAAAUCCUGCCAGAUCUCUUUGCUGCAGGAAAAUCUGCACCAACUGGCUUAAAAAAGAGUGAGAUGCUACUGCAGUUUGUGGACGACCUGGAAAAAAAGGAAGAGGCCAUGCAGAAAAGCAAAAAGAGGGAAGUCUGGCUGUUGGGUGUGCCAUCACACAGAAAAUGUUUUGUUUUAAUUAAAGGGCAGCCCCUUUGUGAACUAAAUUCAAUGGUAGAGGCAUUUUUCACUUUGCUUAGUGCCAGCUACACAUUUUCAGUCUGCUACCAUGAGUGUGUAGGACCAGCAAUGAUGUGGUUGGAGUCAGCAUUCCUUGGAGAUGAGAGGGUAAACACCAAGGACAUGACCUCAUGCAAGAAGUCAAUUCAAAGUUAUUUAGAUUUCAAGGAAAAGCUCACAAGUCCAUGUUGCAGUUUCUGGUAAGGGGGGUUAUACAGUAUCAUUUAUAAUUAUACUUAAGCGAUACAGCCCUCUGACGCAGUCUUUAACGUUUGAUAGGUGACCACGACUGGAGUUAUGCGUCCUGAUCCAAAGGCGAGGGCGCUAACGAAAGACAAGGCCAUCUGUCAAAUGUAAGAGCCCGCAUAGAGAGAUUUUCAGACAAUGGCUAAUGGACAUCACAAAAACAUAUCUGUCCAACAUAAUUGCAUGUUUCACUGCAUGUUUUUUACUGUAUGUUCAAAUGUAUUAUUUUUAUAUUGGGUUUAAAAGAGUAGAAAAAUAUGUUAAAUCAGUUUGAUUAUAAUAUAUUAGCAUGUAGAUUGUAGUAUUUUUACAAAUGAGGUUUUAAUUUAAUUGUAUGUAAGGUACAAAAUAUUUAUGC